rnacentral:rRNA from 1 species
CGUGCAGGCGGGUUGGUAAGUCAGAUGUGAAAGCCCUGGGCUCAACCCAGGAAGUGCAUUUGAAACUGCCAUCCUUGAGUAUGGGAGAGGAGAGUGGAAUUCCCAAUGUAGAGGUGAAAUUCGUAGAUAUUGGGAGGAACACCCGUGGCGAAGGCGACUCUCUGGACCAAUACUGACGCUGAGACGCGAAAGCGGUGGGGAGCAAACA